UUAUCUGAUGUCGGUUUUUGCCAGACUUUUUACCGCUGGAAUACCAUUGUCGAGACCUUCGAUUCUCGUUUAGGUCAUUCCGGCCAAAAGUCGCUCGAUCUCCGAUUCGAGUUUUUAGCUGUCUGUUGCUAAGCCGAACUUGGAAAAANGGUUUUUGCCAGACUUUUUACCGCUGGAAUACCAUAGUCGAGACCUUCGAUUCUCGUUUAGGUCAUUCCGGCCAAAAGUCGCUCGAUCUCCGAUUCGAGUUUUUAGCUGUCUGUUGCUAAGCCGAACUUGGAAAAAUCACGUCUUCGCUAUAUGAAGUCGGAUUUGGGCGUUCUUUUCACGUACGAUUAUGUUUCAAAGACAUUUAAUCAUAGAAGGAAAUUAAGUAGAACUUAUUUAUGCAUGUUAUUAUGAAGGUAACUUUUUAUUAUUCAGAAGUGGUUACAAUACUUGACCCAUUUUGGUCGUUACAAAGAGUUGAAAUAUCGGGUUGUCACACGGCGAAGGAAAGUCUCACAAGAGCCUUAACAGAUUUACACGAACUAUCACUCCCAUUAUUGAAUAAUGACAAUGACAUUACUACUGUAAAUUCAUGACUGCAGUUUUAUGACAUGUGUUUUACAGCUUUAUAACAUACAACUCAUAACUUGUACUUUUAAAAGCUUUAUGAUGGACAGAUUAUGACACCCAAAUUUUUCUGUCGUACAAUUUUUUCUUGUAUACCGUUUUGAUUAAAUUAUUUAUAACACUUUUUAUAAAUAAUCAUUAAUGGACUUGUCUACUAGUAAUAUAUGUUGUGUAAACAGCAUAAUCCUCUAUGUUUUUAAACUAGUAAAAAUUAUUUUUAGUAAAAUAAUCAAGUUUUGUAGUUUGUUUAACACACCAAAAUUUAGUUUUAAGAGUUUUGUAACACAAGAUAUACUAUUUUGUUGUUACUCUAGCAAGUCACGAUUUUCACAAAAAUGCAUAUAGAAACCUUGAAAUUUAUUAUAUUCCAAUAUUUGCGUAAGUAUAAGUGUUUUAAAAAAAAUGUAUAUGUUCC
rnacentral:lncRNA from 1 species